rnacentral:tRNA from 1 species
GCGCCCUUAGCUNNUAGCUCAGUUGGAUAGAGCGGCUGGCUUCGAACCAGUAGGUCGGGAGUUCGAAUCUCUCAGGGCGCGCCA